rnacentral:lncRNA from 1 species
UGUCACUGGACAUAAUAAAAAGAUUAUCCAUUAAUGAUCUUCAUGUCUCCAAUAUACACUAAAACUCGUUGCAUUGUUAUAUGCACCCAUCCUAUGUCAGCUCUUUGUUCAGUGAUUGUCGUUUGUUGGUGUGCCUUAUAGGUGUUUUUGUAUCUCGAUUUAUAUAUAAAGAUAGACUUUUAGUUUUCCUGUUUGGAUUACUUUACACUGGUCAUUUUGGGGCCCUUUAUAG